rnacentral:rRNA from 1 species
UUAAUUCGAAGCAUAGCGAGCUAACGUUUAGCAGGUUUGCAUAAAUUAAAUAUAUUAAAAAAGCAAGACCGCAAAGGUUUCUGUAGCAAUAGAAUCUUGUGACUUAACGUUAGGGGCGAUAAACCAAUCACGCUAUGGCAUAGCUAAGUUUCUGCGAAAUAUAUUUAGGUAUAGCUUAUGCAAAAACUUUAUAG